rnacentral:rRNA from 1 species
GGCGACGGCUUCUUCCACUACAUCAAUGGCACGGGCAUCGAACCGGCCAAAACACUCGUCACCAAGGAAGCCGCCGGGAAGGAAACCUCCGCGUCAAAUCCUCUCCAUCCGAUCUGGGUGAGGGAGGACCAACAGGUCCUUGGAUACGUGCUCCAAAACCUCUCCAAGGAGGUGUUCGUCAUGAUGACCACGAUCACCAUGGUGAGGGAACUAUGGGUGGCACUGGCGAGCAUGUUCUCGUCGCAGUCACUCAGCCGCGUUAACAACAUCCGCACAACGCUAGUUAACGCACAGAAGGAAAAUCAAUCGGUGGCCUCCUACUUCGCCGCCAUGAGAGGCCUCUCCAAUGAACUCACCGCGGCGGAAAACCCAUCUAGGACGAUGAGCUCAUGUCCUACAUCAUCCACGGGCUGGACCAAGACUACCAGCUUCUCGUCUCCGCUUUGGAUGCCCGCGUCACUCUGGUAA